rnacentral:rRNA from 1 species
GACGAACGCUGGCGGCGUGCUUAACACAUGCAGGUCGAACGAGAAUCUACUGAAAGAGUUUUCGGACAAUGGAUGUAGAGGAAAGUGGCGGACGGGUGAGUAACGCGUGAGGAACCUGCCUUGAAGAGGGGACAACAGUUGGAAACGACUGCUAAUACCGCAUGACGCAUAGAGGUCGCAUGAUCUUUAUGCCAAAGAUUUAUCGCUUCAAGAUGGCCUCGCGUCUGAUUAGCUAGUUGGCGGGGUAACGGCCCACCAAGGCGACGAUCAGUAGCCGGACUGAGAGGUUGAACGGCCACAUUGGGACUGAGAUACGGCCCAGACUCCUACGGGAGGCAGCAGUGGGGAAUAUUGGGCAAUGGGCGCAAGCCUGACCCAGCAACGCCGCGUGAAGGAAGAAGGC